CACAAAAAGUACUCAAUGUAAACACCUCUAACUUCAUGAUUCCAACCAUUCAAUACACACAUAUAUAUAAGAGAAGAAGUAUAUAUAUGAAUACACACAGGGUUUUGUCAUAUUACCUUUUGACAUUUUAAAACACGUGUAGGUACAUGUUUUGUUUAUGUAAGUUAAAUGUUGAUCAACUUGAAUACCUAGCAACUUCACACAGAAACUAGGAUAAUCUGCACAGAUUUGUCACAUAGACUAAUGGAUAAAGGAUGAAAUCGUUCUCAACAUUUGGAGAAUCAGCACAGAUUUGUCCCUUAGACCAAUGGAUAAAGGAUGAAAUCGUUCUCAACAUUUGCAGAAUCAGCACAGAUUUGUCCCUUAGACCAAUGGAUAAAGGACGAAAUCGUAUUCAACAUUCGGAGAAUCGGCACAGAUUUGUCUCAUGGACUAACGGAUAAAGGACGAAAUCGUAUUCAACAUUCGGAGAAUCGGCACAGAUUUGUCUCAUGGACUAACGGAUAAAGGACGAAAUCGUAUUCAACAUUCGGAGAAUCGGCACAGAUUUGUCUCAUGGACUAACGGAUAAAGGAUGAAAUCGUUCUCAACAUUUGCAGAAUCAGCACAGAUUUGUCCCUUAGACCAAUGGAUAAAGGACGAAAUCGUAUUCAACAUUCGGAGAAUCGGCACAGAUUUGUCUCAUGGACUAACGGAUAAAGGAUGAAAUCGUUCUCAACAUUUGGAGAAUCAGCACAGAUUUGUCCCUUAGACCAAUGGAUAAAGGACGAAAUCGUAUUCAACAUUCGGAGAAUCGGCACAGAUUUGUCUCAUGGACUAACGGAUAAAGGAUGAAAUCGUUCCCAACAUUUGGAGAAUCAGCACAGAUUUGUCCCUUAGACCAAUGGAUAAAGGAUGAAAUCGUUCUCAACAUUUGCAGAAUCAGCACAGAUUUGUCCCUUAGACCAAUGGAUAAAGGAUGAAAUCGUUCUCAACAUUUGCAGAAUCAGCACAGAUUUGUCCCUUAGACCAAUGGAUAAAGGAUGAAAUCGUUCUCAACAUUUGGAGAAUCAGCACAGAUUUGUCCCUUAGACCAAUGGAUAAAGGAUGAAAUCGUAUUCAACAUUCGGAGAAUCGGCACAGACUUGUCACGUAGACCACUGGAUGGAGGUUUGUGUCAAUUAUGAAUGGACACACACUUCUAUAUCGUCAUGUAGGGACAUAAAUAUUGUCACUACAGGAAGUGAAGAUGGUUUUAUUAACGGGUCGAACUAACUUUCAUGGCAAAGAAGAAUACAUCAGAAUAUCACAACGAAUUGGACGGAACUUUUUUCAUAACUUGGUUUAAAACUAAACUUUUUCCUAAUACUUAUUCCCGAGAAAACUGUUGUGGUAAUGGAUAAUGCGUCGUAUCAGUCCAGGAAGUGUGGAAAGUGAUACAAACAAUUUUGUAAAGGAGGAAAUAUUAAAUGGGCUGCGUUCAAAGGAUAUCUAUUUCAAAGAAGGCUACUGAAAAUCCGAGCUGUUUUGGAUCUAGUAUCCUAAUGUGUGUUGGAGUGAAGUCAUAGGAUAUGUGGCAAAACAUUACCCAAAUUUAAAAAAAAAGACGUAGAAAACCUAAUACAUGAAGUUUUUUCUCAAGUUAUUCCACAAAAAUCAAAUAAUUACCUACCAUGCAAACAUAUAAUUAAGAGUAGAGAAAAGUCAUUGUGGAAUAUUGAUUAUUUAACCGAUUUAACGGACAAUAUUAUUAACCCAGUUAUACUUAAUUAACGUUAAUGAUGGCAGUGAUAGGGAUAGUAAAGCCAACAGUAUGGAAUAAACUGAAGUACGUUUACGUGUGUAGUUGAAAUGUUUUAUAAUUAUACCUAUACUUAUUUACUACGAUCAUUUUCUUAUUUUUAAAUGUAUGCCUAUAUAAAUCUAUACAUUUGUUUUCAUUUUA